GUUCCUAGCCACACGCACCAGUAACACAUCACAAUGAGGCUAGAGGCAGACACUCCUUCAUCCGCCCCAAUCUGCUUUCUCCGGAUCCAGUCAUCCAAGAAGAAGCCUCGCCCAAGCAGACACCUCCGUCUGGACCAGAGUACUAGACUCGCAGGGUUGCUGGAUGGACCCGUGAGAGACAGCUGGAGCUGGUGUCCAGACACCUCGGACGAUGGGCGUGAGAGGGAGGAAGGACCACCAUUACUUUAGUCUGAGAGAGAGGAUGGUUCGGCUGGAACAGGACCGGUGAGCACUUCCCAAAGUGGAGGCAGCACGAAGCAGGAGCUGGAAGAAGGAGACUCAGUCAGAUGAGAGUCUGAGGAAUGUGAAAGCCAAUCCAACCAAGA